rnacentral:rRNA from 1 species
GAUGAACGCUGGCGGCGUGCCUGAUACAUGCAAGUCGAGCGAAUGGAUUGAGAGCUUGCUCUCAAGAAGUUAGCGGCGGACGGGUGAGUAACACGUGGGUAACCUGCCCAUAAGACUGGGAUAACUCCGGGAAACCGGGGCUAAUACCGGAUAACAUUUUGAACUGCAUGGUUCGAAAUUGAAAGGCGGCUUCGGCUGUCACUUAUGGAUGGACCCGCGUCGCAUUAGCUAGUUGGUGAGGUAACGGCUCACCAAGGCAACGAUGCGUAGCCGACCUGAGAGGGUGAUCGGCCACACUGGGACUGAGACACGGCCCAGACUCCUACGGGAGGCAGCAGUAGGGAAUCUUCCGCAAUGGACGAAAGUCUGACGGAGCAACGCCGCGUGAGUGAUGAAGGCUUUCGGGUCGUAAAACUCUGUUGUUAGGGAAGAACAAGUGCUAGUUGAAUAAGCUGGCACCUUGACGGUACCUAACCAGAAAGCCACGGCUAACUACGUGCCAGCCGCCGCGGUAACAC